rnacentral:rRNA from 1 species
CCUCGGGGGGCUGCAGUGGGGAAUAUUGGACAAUGGGGGCAACCCUGAUCCAGCCAUGCCGCGUGUGUGAAGAAGGCCCUCGGGUUGUAAAGCACUUUCAGUGAGGAAGAACGCCUGGUGGUUAAUACCCAUCAGGAAAGACAUCACUCACAGAAGAAGCACCGGCUAACUCCGUGCCAGCAGCCGCGGUAAUACGGAGGGUGCGAGCGUUAAUCGGAAUUACUGGGCGUAAAGCGCGCGUAGGUGGCUUGAUAAGCCGGUUGUGAAAGCCCCGGGCUCAACCUGGGAACGGCAUCCGGAACUGUCAAGCUAGAGUGCAGGAGAGGAAGGUAGAAUUCCCGGUGUAGCGGUGAAAUGCGUAGAGAUCGGGAGGAAUACCAGUGGCGAAGGCGGCCUUCUGGACUGACACUGACACUGAGGUGCGAAAGCGUGGGUAGCAAACAGGAUUAGAUACCCGUGUAGUC